rnacentral:tRNA from 1 species
GCUGUGAUCGUAUAGUGGUUAGUACUCUGCGUUGUGGCCGCAGCAACCCCAGUUAGAAUCAGUGGUCACGGCA